AGAGUUCGAUCCUGGCUCAGGAUGAACGCUGGCGGCGUGCCUAACACAUGCAAGUCGAACGAGAUGCGUAUCGGAAAGCUUCGGCCGGAAGAUACGUUAUCUAGUGGCGGACGGGUGAGUAACACGUGGGUAACCUGCCUUAUGGAGGGGGAUAACAGAGAGAAAUCACUGCUAAUACCGCAUAAGCACACAGUACCGCAUGGUACAGGGUGAAAAGAUUUAUCGCCAUAAGAUGGACCCGCGUCUGAUUAGCCAGUUGGCAGGGUAAAAGCCUACCAAAGCAACGAUCAGUAGCCGAUCUGAGAGGAUGACCGGCCACAUUGGGACUGAGACACGGCCCAAACUCCUACGGGAGGCAGCAGUGGGGAAUAUUGCACAAUGGGGGAAACCCUGAUGCAGCGACGCCGCGUGAGUGAAGAAGUAUUUCGGUAUGUAAAGCUCUAUCAGCAGGGAAGAAAAUGACGGUACCUGACUAAGAAGCCCCGGCUAACUACGUGCCAGCAGCCGCGGUAAUACGUAGGGGGCAAGCGUUAUCCGGAUUUACUGGGUGUAAAGGGAGCGUAGACGGAAUGGCAAGUCUGAAGUGAAAUACCCGGGCUCAACCUGGGAACUGCUUUGGAAACUGUUGUUCUAGAGUGUUGGAGAGGUAAGUGGAAUUCCUGGUGUAGCGGUGAAAUGCGUAGAUAUCAGGAAGAACACCGGAGGCGAAGGCGGCUUACUGGACAAUAACUGACGUUGAGGCUCGAAAGCGUGGGGAUCAAACAGGAUUAGAUACCCUGGUAGUCCACGCUGUAAACGAUGAAUACUAGGUGUCGGGGUGCAAAGCAUCUCGGUGCCGUCGCUAACGCAAUAAGUAUUCCACCUGGGGAGUACGUUCGCAAGAAUGAAACUCAAAGGAAUUGACGGGGACCCGCACAAGCGGUGGAGCAUGUGGUUUAA
rnacentral:rRNA from 1 species